rnacentral:rRNA from 1 species
UACCAGCACCCCGAGUGGUCGGGACGAUUAUUGGGCCUAAAGCAUCCGUAGCCGGUCCUGCAAGUCUUCCGUUAAAUCCAGCUGCUCAACAGAUGGGCUGCGGAGGAUACUACAGGGCUAGGAGGCGGGAGAGGCAAGCGGUACUUUAUGGGUAGGGGUAAAAUCCGUUGAUCCAUAGAAGACCACCAGUGGCGGAGGCGGCUUGCCAGAACGCGCUCGACGGUGAGGGAUGAAAGCUGGGGGAGCAAACCGG